GCCCGGGUGGUGGAAUUGGCUAUACACAGAGCACUUAAAAUGCUCCGCCGCGAGGCAUGUCGGUUCGAAUCCGACCCCGGGUACCA
rnacentral:tRNA from 1 species